rnacentral:rRNA from 1 species
CCUACGGGUGGCAGCAGUGGGGAAUAUUGCACAAUGGGGGGAAGGCUGAUGCAGCGACGCCGCGUGAGGGAAGAAGUAUUUCGGUACGUAAAGCUCUAUCAGCAGGGAAGAAAAUAACGGUACCUGAAUCAGAAGCCCCGGCGAACUACGUGCCAGCAGCCGCGGUAAUACGUAGGGGGCAAGCGUUAUCCGGAUUUACUGGGUGUAAAGGGAGCGUAGACGGCAGCGCAAGUCUGAAGGGAAAUCCCAUGGCUUAACCAUGGAACUGCUUUGGAAACUGUGCAGCUGGAGUGCAGGAGAGGUAAGCGGAAUUCCUGGUGUAGCGGUGAAAUGCGUAGAUAUUAGGAGGAACACCAGUGGCGAAGGCGGCUUACUGGACUGUAACUGACGUUGAGGCUCGAAAGCGUGGGGAGCAAACAGGACUAGAUACCCGUGUAGUC